AUAUGCAUUUGGACUGGGCAAGCC
rnacentral:siRNA from 1 species